CCUCUUUCCCGUCUUUGGUAAGAGCACUUUGUAGGUAGUCUUCUUCAGUAAGCUCUUCAAGUAGUUCGUCAGCUAAACGAUCCAUUUCUUCUAUGUAGAACACUUGUCCAUCAAUGGUCGGUUUCUUCAUCGUCUUAGUGAUGUCGAAUGUCAUCUUGAAAUCUUCACCGAGGUUUAAGUCGAUCUUACCUCUUCUGAC
rnacentral:lncRNA from 1 species